rnacentral:lncRNA from 1 species
CCGUCAUAUCUGGUUUUAGCGUUUUUUCAUGUACCGUUCUUGCAGUUAGUUUUCCAUUCUUGUGUUGUCUGUGUAGCAAUGUGAAGCCUACAAAAUUGAGGGAAACACUUGUGAAUUCUUGUGACUCCAAAACGAGUAUUUGUUGUAUCAAAGUAAAUAGAAAAAUAAGAUUGUUUUCAAAGAGCGACCGCAACAACCAACAUAAUUGUGGCAAUGGUGCUAAUGCUGUAACAUGGUUCAUCAGUUCAUCUUGUCUUAAUCUGUAUACUUGCUUUCAGAUGCAACACAUCCCUCUUGAUAGACUGCUGCCACAACGAUGGCACACAUAAGUACAUUCUAAUUGAUAUUGGCAAGACCUUUAGAGAACAAGUUCUCCGGUGGUUUGUUCACCACAAAGUUCCUUCUGUUGACUCGGUGAGGUAUUCGUGGUCAUCUUUCCAAAUGUAUCAAUCCAAAUGUAUGCAUGGCAAGACUAAGUCUGUUUCUUUGCAGUGCAGAUUAUUCUGACUCAUGAGCAUGCAGAUGCGGUCUUAGGACUUGCCGAUGUUUGGGUGGUACAGUCAAGUGACCAUAAAAAUGAUGUUGAUCCAAUUCCAAUUUUCCUCACCCAAUUCACAAUGGACAGGUCGCCCUAGCUUUUCGAAUGGACUACCAUGAUAAUAUCAGUCAUCAAACCAUGUAUCAGGUAACAUCUGUUCAUUUUGCAGUGUCGCAGCUAGAUUCCCAUAUUUGAUGAAGCAAAAGCUGGAGGAAAGCGAUGAAGCUGCCAGAGUCGCUAAACUCGACUGGACGAUAAUUGAGCCUGAUGUUGACAAACCAUUUGUAUCAUCAGGGCUAGAGUUUGCGCCCUUGCCAGUAUAAGACACACAACCCUUGUGUUGUGAAAGGCUAGCUUGAUCUUGCUAUAUUUACUUUCUGGUGCGGUCAGCUUACUGUUCUCUACUUCUCAAUUCAGGUCAUGCACGGAGACGAUUAUAUUUGUUUAGGCUUCCUAUUUGGGAGGAAAGCUAGAGUUGCAUAUUUAUCUGAUGUCUCAAGAAUUCUCCCUAGAACCGAGCACAGUAUGGUUUCUCUAUGCCUAUCAUUCUUCAUCUUGAUAAUUUGAAUCCCUUUUGCUUGAGAGCAUUAAAUGUGGCAGCAGGGAGACAUUCUUGGUUGACCUUUGCAGAAAAAUAUAUUUUAGAAUGUUAUUUGGAAAAUCACAUGGUAGUCACAUUGCUGGAUAUAUUAAAUCAACUAGGGUCCAUAAGAAUGUAAAAACAAAGAAUAGCUAGAAGGACUGUUGUUUGCAACCAUGUAAUCAAUCAUUCUUAACUAGAAGGAUCGUUAUUUGCAUCCAUGUUAACCAUUCUUUUUUUUGCUAAAGAAAAUAAUGGUUACAGGUUGAAAAUAAUAGUCCUUCUAGCUUGUGCUGUACAUUCUCAUAAAUCAUGGUCGAUUUGCUCCAUUUCUUAUUGAAAUGCAUCCUUGAUUCAGCAUGUUGCCGCAGGAAUUUCGAAAUCUGGUACUGGACAACUUGACCUUCUUAUACUAGAAACAAACCGGUUGCAUGGGGUGGUAAGCCCGCUGCAUAUGUUCAUCAUCCGAAAAAUUGCAAAUCUUUCACACAUGCUGAUGCGGUCUUUUGCGAUAUUUGAACAGGGAAAUGCUCGCAGUACCCAUCUUACCUUCACUGAGGUUAAUUUCGAUUUAAUUCGGUCUUCUGCGAUAUUUGAACCGAGCCUAUAUGUAGUUUGAACCAGCAGUUGCAUUUAUGGAUGGUAACGCGGUAUAGUUCUUACAGAGUCUGGAUGCCGUCAAGAGGAUAUGCCCUAAGAAAGCUCUGCUGAUUGGAAUGAAUCAUGAGUUUGAACAUGACAGAGAAAACCAAAUUUUGGCAGAAUGGUCUCGCAGGUGCGCGUCUGGUUGAACGUCUACAUUAUAUUUCCUUAUAUUUAUUCUCAGCAUGUCUGAUGUGUUAACUCCUAUGAUAAUAGAGAAGGAAUACAAGUGCAAUUAGCUCAUGAUGGCCUGCGUAUCUUCAUCGAUCUGUAAUAAGGUAAGCAUCGUAGGACCCAAUAACGGUCCUGUAUCAGCAACAUCGGUUUUUGGGGUAUGUUUCAGCAGUUUCCAUGGUACCGUUGUAGAUUAUGUUGCCAGAAUAAUCCCCCCGAAUAAUCCAUAUGUCAUUAGCUUAUUUCAGAUUGAAGCACAGCUCCACUUGUGUAUGAAUUCGGUCUAUGUUUCUGUGGAACAUCCUGCAUUUAGUUGUAUUUCCUCCAUAGAAAUUGUUCUGACUAAAUCAAUAAGUUAUUGAUAGUCUAUCCUAUUUUGUGUUGAUUCCAUACAUUUCAUUCCUAGACGUUCUGUUGAGAUUGAGCAAAAUUUUGAACUGAAAAGUCAAUUAAGCUCUUUCGACUAAGACCUUGGUGUACAAACCUAGGAUCUGCCAAUGGCAAAGUUUUUUCGUUUUGCUACCACGCAGGCGGCAGAGUUGUUUCCAACAAGAAAAGAAGACGAGAAUUCGUGCGGUUCAGAGACACAUUAUCGCCAGCAUUCGGCGGCAGCCCGCCAAUUCCACCGUGAGACGAGGAACCGCGGAUUCUAUUGAACAUAGCGAGCCCCGCGGCUGCCGUCUCUAUUCCUCGACAUACAUACCUGGAAGAUCCGCGAUCAAGACUUGAGCGGUUGAGCCAUGCCUCAGCCUGCGCCUUCCCUGUUCCUCUUCAAAGCCUUCGUGCGUUCGGAGCCGAACAACGACGGCUGGCGUCCGGGUUCGACGACGAGGGCGACGCCGAUCCCGUGGUGCGCUCCCUGCAGCUCGAAGCACACCUCGCCGUCGCGCCAGAUCUGUCCUCCCUGACCCUCGGAGGCGGCAGCGUAGCCACCGCCAGCCAAACCAUCGACCAGAACCUCAUCGUUCUCGAAUCGACCUUCCCACAGAGUUUACACCGCCGGGUCUUGCUCAUCUACGACACCCUCGACUCGCAUUCCUCGUCGCGCGCCGCCAUGCCCACGACGCGGAGGACAAGUCCUACGCCCUGGUCGUCCAGGCGCAGGAAAUCGUCUGCGUCUCCGACGAAGGGAUCCACCAAUGGCGGGACGUUCUCUUCGUGUCGCAGUCGUCGUCAUCCGGCUCGCCGUGGAACGUGGUAAAGGCGGCAAGGUUCGGGUUCGCCGAGCGGUGGCUCGCUGAUAAAAGCUCCUUCUACGCGGACGUGGUGUUCUCCUCCGGUGGCCGCGGCUACUGGGGGGAUCUCUUGCGCGGCUUCAUGUACUGCGACUGCGACGCGCUUCUCUCCGACGACAUUCAUCCCGUGGAUCUCUACUCCAUACCCCUGCCCCCCAU